rnacentral:rRNA from 1 species
CAACCUUGCCUUUAAGACUGGGAUAACUAUCGGAAACGAUAGCUAAGACCGGAUAACUGGUUUUCUCGCAUGAGAGAAUUAUGAAACACGGAGCAAUCUGUGGCUUAAAGAUGGGCCUGCGGCGCAUUAGCUAGUUGGUAGGGUAACGGCCUACCAAGGCGACGAUGCGUAGCCGACCUGAGAGGGUGAACGGCCACACUGGGACUGAGACACGGCCCAGACUCCUACGGGAGGCAGCAGUAGGGAAUCUUCCGCAAUGGACGCAAGUCUGACGGAGCAACGCCGCGUGAGUGAUGAAGGUUUUCGGAUCGUAAAGCUCUGUUGCCCUAGACGAACAGCAAGGAGAGUAACUGCUCUUUGUGUGACGGUAUAGGAGAAGAAAGCCCCGGCUAACUACGUGCCAGCAGCCGCGGUAAUACGUAGGGGGCAAGCGUUGUCCGGAAUUAUUGGGCGUAAAGCGCGCGCAGGCGGUCGUUUAAGUCUGGUGUUUAAGCCCGGGGCUCAACCCCGGUUCGCAUCGGAAACUGGAUGACUUGAGUGUAAGAGAGGAAAGUGGAAUUCCA